AACGGAUAUCUCGGCUCUUGCAUCGAUGAAGAACGUAGCGAAAUGCGAUACUUGGUGUGAAUUGCAGAAUCCCGUGAACCAUCGAGUCUUUGAACGCAAGUUGCGCCCAAAGCCAUUAGGCUGAGGGCACGCCUGCCUGGGUGUCACAC
rnacentral:rRNA from 1 species